UACGAAGGGGGCUAGCGUUGCUCGGAAUCACUGGGCGUAAAGCGCACGUAGGCGGAUUGCUAAGUCAGGGGUGAAAUCCUGGAGCUCAACUCCAGAACUGCCUUUGAUACUGGCGAUCUUGAGUCCGGGAGAGGUGAGUGGAACUGCGAGUGUAGAGGUGAAAUUCGUAGAUAUCUGGAGGAACACCGGUGGCGAAGGCGGCAUCCUGGACCGACACUGACGCUGAGGAGCGAAAGCCAGGGGAGCAAACGGG
rnacentral:rRNA from 1 species